rnacentral:rRNA from 1 species
GACGAACGCUGGCGGCACGCUUAACACAUGCAAGUCGAACGAGAGAAGAGAAGCUUGCUUUUCUGAUCUAGUGGCGGACGGGUGAGUAACACGUGAGCAAUCUGCCUUUCAGAGGGGGAUACCGAUUGGAAACGAUCGUUAAUACCGCAUAACAUAAUGGAACCGCAUGAUUUGAUUAUCAAAGAUUUAUCGCUGAAAGAUGAGCUCGCGUCUGAUUAGCUAGUUGGUAAGGUAACGGCUUACCAAGGCGACGAUCAGUAGCCGGACUGAGAGGUUGAUCGGCCACAUUGGGACUGAGACACGGCCCAGACUCCUACGGGAGGCAGCAGUGGGGAAUAUUGCACAAUGGAGGAAACUCUGAUGCAGCGAUGCCGCGUGAGGGAAGAAGGUUUUAGGAUUGUAAACCUCUGUCUUCAGGGACGAAAAAAGACGGUACCUGAGGAGGAAGCUCCGGCUAACUACGUGCCAGCAGCCGCGGUAAUACGUAGGGAGCGAGCGUUGUCCGGAAUUACUGGGUGUAAAGGGAGCGUAGGCGGGAUCGCAAGUCAGAUGUGAAAACUAUGGGCUUAACCCAUAAACUGCAUUUGAAACUGUGGUUCUUGAGUGAAGUAGAGGUAAGCGGGAAUUCCUAGUGUAGCGGUGAAAUGCGUAGAUAUUAGGAGGAACAUCAGUGGCGAAGGCGGCUUACUGGGCUUUAACUGACGCUGAGGCUCGAAAGCGUGGGGAGCAAACAGGAUUAGAUACCCUGGGUAGUCCACGCCGUAAACGAUGAUUACUAGGUGUGGGGGGACUGACCCCUUCCGUGCCGCAGCAAACGCAAUAAGUAAUCCACCUGGGGAGUACGACCGCAAGGUUGAAACUCAAAGGAAUUGACGGGGGCCCGCACAAGCAGUGGAGUAUGUGGAUUAAUUCGAAGCAACGCGAAGAACCUUACCAGGUCUUGACAUCGUAUGCAUAGCUCAGAGAUGAGUGAAAUCUCUUCGGAGACAUAUAGACAGGUGGUGCAUGGUUGUCGUCAGCUCGUGUCGUGAGAUGUUGGGUUAAGUCCCGCAACGAGCGCAACCCUUACUGUUAGUUGCUACGCAAGAGCACUCUAGCAGGACUGCCGUUGACAAAACGGAGGAAGGUGGGGAUGACGUCAAAUCAUCAUGCCCCUUAUGACCUGGGCCUCACACGUACUACAAUGGCUGUCAACAGAGGGAAGCAAAGCCGCGAGGUGGAGCGAACCCCUAAAAGCAGUCUUAGUUCGGAUUGUAGGCUGCAACCCGCCUACAUGAAGUCGGAAUUGCUAGUAAUCGCAGAUCAGCAUGCUGCGGUGAAUACGUUCCCGGGCCUUGUACACACCGCCCGUCACGCCAUGGGAGUCGGUAACACCCGAAGCCUGUAGUCUAACCGCAAGGAGGACGCAGUCGAAGGUGGGAUUGAUGACUGGGGUG